AUGGACCGAAGAGGUAUUUCUCCAACCAUUGUUACUUACACAUCUGUUAAACGAGCAACCGUGUUGUUCAAUCAGAUGUGUCCAUCUAUCACUGAUUUGGAGGACCGUGAUCUUAGACUGGUCACUGAUAUUGUUGGGGGUACCAUACGUUGGAAGCGAUAUCUUGAUCAGUUAAUCAGUUCAUGUUGUGAUGCAAGCACAUUUAGCAGGAUGGGACCACUUCUUUUACAGAUUCUCCGAAUUGGUUUCUUCGAGAUUGUCAAGCUCAAUAUGCCACCAUAUGCUGUUGUGGAUGAGGAGCUAGAGAAAUGUGGACAUGGUGCUGGAAACAUGGUCAGUGGGAUUCUCCGGAAGCUUGUUAUACUUAAGGAAAGUAACUCUCUUCCUCUACCCAAAAUGUGGAGGGUGAUGAUCGCACACAAGCACUUGCUCUUGCCACUCUGUACUCUCAUCCUGUAUGGAUGGUAAGGCGAUGGACAAAGCAUCUAGGACAAGAAGAAACAAUUAAAUUGAUUACAUGGAAUAAUAGUGAUCCUAGUUUCAGCUUAAGGGCAAACAGUGGGAAAGGUUUUUCAAGAGCUGACCUUGUGACAAAGCUUAAUUUAUUGAAGGUCCCACAUGAGAUCUCUUUGCAUUUGAAUGAUUUUGUCUGUAUGAAAAAAGGGUUGCAGAUUGUAAUUCAGGCUGGUUUGCUAAAAGUAGGUUUAUGUUCAGUACAGGAUGAGAGUGCAGGUCUGGUAGUUUCUGUUGUAGAUCCUCAACACUGUGAAAGCAUUAUAGAUUGCUGUGCUGCUCCUGGAGGAAAGACUCUUUACAUGGCAUCUCUUUUGAGUGGCCAAGGUAUGGUAUAUGCAAUUGACAUGAAUGAAGGGCGAUUGAGAAUCCUCAAAGAAACGGCUAAGUUGCACCAAGUAGAUGGUGUCAUCACAACUAUCCAUGCUGAUAUGCGUAGUUAUGCUGACAACAAUACUAUGAAGUUUCACAAAGUUCUGUUGGAUGCUCCAUGGUCUGGAGUCGGUGUUCUCACCAAGAGGGCAGACUUGCGUUGGAACAGGAGAUUAGAGGACAUGGAAGAGCUCAAGAAUUUGCAGGAUCAGCUCCUUGAUGCAGCUACUCAAUUGGUCAAGCCUGGUGGAGUAUUAGUAUACAGUUCUUGCUCCAUAUAUCCGGAAGAGAAUGAAGAGAGAACUGCUGCAUUUCUUCUCAGGCACAGUAUUUUUUGCAUAGAUCCUGCUGACAAAUAUGUUCCAUCUGAAUUUGUCGCUGAAUUGACAGCUAGCUGCGAUCAGCUCUAUUCACAUUACAUGCGAGCUGAACCAAUUCAUGAUUUAAAGUUUGCCUAUGCACCAAGCACAGUGGAUAUGUGUACAACUAUGGAUGAGUUGAUACAGCAAUUGAUCACAAAGAUUAAUGGGGGAGGUGGUGUUGGCGGUUGUGUUCAUAUGUAG